rnacentral:lncRNA from 1 species
AGGUCACAAGAUUGCGCCAACCCUUACAUGGUCCUUAAAAAAAAAACCUUCUGACACUGCAGUAGUGAAAAUGAAGCGCACGAUGGGCGGAAGCUGUGAGUCCGGCAAAGUUUUAAAAUGAUGACGUAUUUUAUUAACUCUAACGGCACUGGCGGGUGACUGAAAAUACUAGUGCUGUGUAUGCGGGAUAGACAUUAUUUUCCUGCCCUACAUGAGGGGCUCGUGCGCGGAACGACAUGGGCAGCCCCGGCGGAAACUGCAGGCACAAGCCGGGACGCCGCGGGUUUAAAACAUGCGCGUGAGAGGAAGACAAACAUAAAGAUGAAGUGCUUAAUUCAAGGUCACACAAUGUCGGGGAUGGACCUCCAGAUUUCCUUACUGGAAAACAAGCUCAGGGCUCCCACUGAUUGUACAUUAUGGUGAGACGUGGUCUUGUAACACAGUGGUUAAGAAUGUGACUUUGGAGCCAGCCUGCUAGGGGCUGAAUUCUGACUCAGCCAUUUACUAACUGUGUGACCUUAGGUAAGUCAUUUACCUUCUUUGUCCCUCAGUUUCAUCUCGGUUAAGUAGGGAUAAUGAUAGCACCUAUUUUAUAGGGUUAUUGUGAGGAAUAAAUCCAAGUAAAAUGCUUAGAAUAGUAACUGAAACAUAGCACUCAUUAGGAAUGCUUUAAUUUUCAUUUAUUUGAGUAUUAAAGGUUGAAUUUUCAGAGGUAUUUUGGACCUUUGUAUUUUUUCUUUAAAUCACUUAUUCAUGACUUUUGAACUUUUUUUUUUCUUUUAGAGACAGGGUCUUGGUUUGUUGUCUAGGCUGGAAUGCAGUGGUGCAAUCAUAGCUCACUGUAGCCUUGAACUCUUGGGCUCAAGAGAUCCUCCUGCCUCAGCCUCGUGAGUAGCUGGGCCUACAGGCGCCUGCUACCACACCUGGCUAAUUUUUUAUUUUUUGUAGAGAUGGGUUCUUGCAGCCCAGACUGGUCUUGAGCUUUGGCCUGAAGUGCUCCUCCUGCCUUGGCCUCUCAAAGCAUUGGGGUUACAGGUGUGAAGCACUGCACCUUGCCUACACAUUUUUUCCAAUAAUUUUUUUUAUUAAUUUGUAAGAGUUAACAUGUCGACUAUCAUAUAUAACAUAGAAUUGUUCCCAUUUUGUCAUUUCCUUUCAACUUUGUCUAUGUAGCUUUUUUUCUGUGUGCAAAUUUUACAUUUUUAGGUAGUCAGAAAAUCUCUUCCCUUGUAAUUUUUUCUGCUACUAGACCAAUGUUUAGAAAAAAGCGUGCUUCCCCACCUCAAAAUUAUAAAAAUAGUUACUUGUUCUUUUUGAGUACUGUGUGUGUUUAAAUCUUUAAUCUUUAAAUUUAAAUCUUUGAUCCAUCUGGUAUUUAUUUUGAUAUGAAGAGAGUGGUUGGGAUCUGGCUGUAUUUCUUUUUUCUUUUUUUUUCUUUUUUCUUUUUUUGACGAAGUCUCACUGUUGCUCAGGCUGGAGUGCAAUGGCAUGAUCUCGGCUCAUCACAACCUCUGCUUCCUGGGUUCAAGCGAUUCUCCUGCCUCAGCCUCCCGAGUACCUGGGACUACAGGCACUCGCCACCAUGCCCGGCUGAUUUUUGUAUUUUUAAUAGAGAUGGUUUCACUAUGUUGGCCAGGCUGGUCUCGAACUCCUGACCUUGUGAUCUGCCCACCUCAGCCUCGAAAAGUGCUGGGAUUACAGGCGUGAGCCACUGCGCCCAGCCUUGUAUUUUUUUUCAGUUUGGGUAGCUGUCCCUAAUUCAUUUGUUAAAGGAGAAGCAAGAGCAAGAACCUUUAAUCUGUUCUCCUCUUCCCUAAUUUGAAAGUAGCUUGUUAUUUUGAAUAUCACUUUCUCUGAAAUAGCACAUCUCCAUCUCAGAGAAUGGAUUUAAUGUUUGGAUACAGCCAAAAGUCAUUUCAUUACCAAACCAUGGGGUGAAUAUACCAUGUAAAGCAGUUUGGGAUCAGAACUCACAGUCUGAAUUGUAAGUGAUGAGACUGCUGUCUCUCUGCUACAGCUUCUUGGCUGGCUCUGAAGGCUCUUUGAAGGCAGAUCCUAACAAGGGGACUGCUUUGAAGGGCCAUUGUUCAUUUGGAAUGAUAAAGUCUAUGUUGUUCAAAAAACAAAUGCUUGUAGCAGGUAUUUUUUCACUCCAGACUGAGAAUAUUGGUGGGAUAUUGAUAAGGGGUACUGAAUGGUAAUAAACAUGUGCUCUAGCUCUGUGCUAGUCAGCUUAUUUCAGAACUCUAGUUUGAUUCAGUUUCUUGCCUCUGACUCAAAAUGGAGGGAGAGUGAUUUUUACAUAAGAGAACACACCCACAUAUCCUUUUGGCAGCAGCUACCUGCCAGAGAUGUUGAAGAAGAGUAGCCAACCUUUACACAGCAGAUAUUGUGUGCCAGUCAUAGUCCUAAGUAUAAUACCUUACAUGUAUAAACUUCUUAUAAGGUUGGUGCUCUGUACCGAAUUGAAUAGUAUCCCCCAAAAUUCAUGUUGUCCCAGAACCUAUGAAAGUGAUCUUACUUGAGGGAGGGGGGAGGGGGGAGGGAUAGCAUUAGGAGAUAUACCUAAUGCUAAAUGACGAGUUAAUGGGUGUAGCACACCAGCAUGGCACAUGUAUACAUAUGUAACUAACCUGCACAUUGUGCACAUGUACCCUAAAACUUAAAGUAUAAUAAUAAUAAAAUAAAAAAAAAAAAGAAAGUGAUCUUACUUGGAAAUAAGGUCUUUGCACAUAUGAUCAAGUUGAGAUGAAGUUGUACUGGAAAGUCUGUCUAGUGACUGGUGUUGUCAUAAGAAGAGAGGGACACAGAGGGAAGAUGGCCACAUGAAGAUGGAGGCAGAGAUUGCAGUUAUGCUGCUGCAAACUAAGGAAUGGCUCUGGCCCUCCAAGGAUUGCUGAUAACCACCAGAAACUAGAAGAGACAAGGAAGGAUUCUUCCCUAGAGCCUUCAGAGGGAGCAUGGCCCUACUGACACCUGGAUUUCAAACUUGUAGCUUCCUAAACUGCAAGAGAAUAAAUUUCUGUUGUUUUAAGCCA